UGUGUGGGUAUAGCGGACUUUCCCUCAGUGACGGCUUCCUGUCUAAAAGCUGUUUCGAAGUGUUUGCCAGCUGCCCUUUCUUGAAGCUCCGCUGUCUGGCAGAUUUCCAAGAAACGAUUUCUGGAAAAAAGGCAUUUUUGGCAGAGCUUUGAAGGAAAAAGGUCAGCAAAGUCUUCGACUCAACUCACGUCAUCUCCCCAUUUCCGCUGGCGCCAGGGCCCUAGACUUGAUUGCUCCUCGCGAAAGCACCGGAGGCUCGCAGCACAGGAAGGCGCCACGGACGCGGCUCCGGAACUCCGGAGACGUGACGUAGCGACAAUAUGCUGCUCCGGAUUGGAGGAGGUCGCGGAGGGAGGGGUGAGGCCCGCCGCCGGAAGUGACGCAAACCAGAAGCGGCUCUUCUGACUAGCUACUUGGGGCGUGGGUUUGGAAAUAACGCUGUGAGGCAAAUGUGGCUGAGCCGCUGGCAACCUGUUGUCAGCUCUACGCCAGGUUCACGGCGGGUUCGCUCGUCACGCACUUUGUGUUCUGUACUUCUCGGCAACUGGAACGGCACUGCCUCCCAGAGACUUCCGUGAGCGCCCCUAAAGAAGGAGGCAGGACGGUGUGCUGAGGCGGGGAAGCCGCUGUGAACGGCUGCGGCCAAGGAAGCGUGGACGUGCCUCCGCGUUCCCGAAUUCAACUCGGCGCGAGCGGCACGAUUUUCUGGGGCAUUGGUGGCCCCGGCAUCUAGUGGGUGAUUAUUCAUUGUCAAGACGCUGCUCACUAAUUCGGAAAGUGAAAAAACCCACCGUUUUCCAGCAUUUCUCUUGGAGGAGGACUAAGCAAUAGCAAAAAAAAUGUCUAUUUUCCCUAAAAUAUCUUUGAGACUCGAGGUUGAAAGUUACCUUAAAGAUGGCUUUAUGAAUAAGGAGGUUGUAUCUGCUUUAGGUAAACAAGAAGCAGAAAGGAAGUUUGAAACUCUGUUAAAUCGUUUGUCACACCCUCCAUCAUUCACAACUGUAAGAGUAAAUACACAUCUAGCCUCAGUACAACAUGUGAAAAACCUGUUACUUGAUGAACUUCGGAAGCAGCAGUUUAAUGGAUUAAGUGUUCCUAUUCUUCAACAUCCAGACCUUCAGGAUGUCUUACUUAUUCCUGUUAUUGGACCUAGGAAAAAUAUAAAGAAACAACAGUGUGAAGCCAUUGUUGGAGCCCUGUGCGGCAAUGCAGUGUUAAGAGGAGCCCAUGUCUAUAUUCCAGGAAUUGUGUCAGCUUCCAAAUUUAUGAAAGCUGGAGAUGUUAUUUCUGUAUACUCUGAUAUUAAAGGCAAAUGUAAGAAAGGAGCCAAAGAAUUUGAUGGAACAAAAGUGUUUCUUGGAAAUGGGAUUUCUGAACUAAGCCGCAAACAAAUCUUCAGUGGGCUGCCUGAACUGAAAGGUAUAGGCAUAAAAAUGACAGAACCAGUAUAUCUCAGCCCUUCAUUUGACAAUGUACUGCCCAGCUACUUAUUUUUACAGAAUUUGCCAUCUGCUGUGGUAACUCAUGUUCUGGAUCCUCAACCUGGUGAGAAGAUUUUAGAUUUGUGUGCGGCACCUGGAGGCAAAACCACACACAUUGCGGCAUUAAUGCAUGAUCAGGGAGAAGUAAUAGCACUGGAUAAAACAUUCAACAAAGUAGAAAAAAUAAAGCAGAAUGCUUUGUUGUUAGGGCUGAAUUCCAUUAGGACAUUUUGUUUUGAUGGAACAAAGGCACUUAAACUUGAUACAGUUAAUAAUGCAGAAGGAGGACCUCCAUUUUUGCCAGAAUCUUUUGACCGAAUUCUUCUUGAUGCUCCCUGCAGUGGACUAGGACAGAGACCAAACAUGGCUUGUUCCUGGACUUUGAAGGAAGUGACAUCAUAUCAACCAUUACAACGAAAACUCUUCACUGUGGCAGUUGAGCUGCUGAAGCCGGGGGCUGUGCUGGUUUAUAGUACAUGCACAGUCACACUGGCAGAAAAUGAAGAGCAAGUUGCCUGGGCCCUCAGAACAUUUCCUUGCCUUCAGCUUCAUCCCCAGGAACCACAGAUUGGAGGAGCAGGAAUGAUGGGAGCUGGCCUCUCACUUGAACAACUGAAACAGCUGCAGCGAUUUGAUCCAUCUGUUGUGUCAUUACUGGACACUGACAUUGAUUCUCUCAGAGAUGCCGUAACAGGAGACAUGAUUUGGCUGGCAAAUAAGGAUUGUAUAGGUUUUUUCAUUGCAAAAUUCAUAAAAGGCAAAUGCACAUAGGAGAAGGAUCUUUAGAAGUGAAAUUCCAAACAUAGGUGUUUUUUUCCUUAAACUGUUGUCGAGCUAAGUGAUUGAUGUCAUGAUUGCUAAGGACACAGAAAACAUUGCUAGCUUUUUCACCAGGGGUUAAGAGACUUGCUCGAGACUGCUUCAUAAGGAAGUAGUUGGGAGUGAUAUGAGAUUGCAUUUUGUGUUUUUAAAAUACUUUUUUUUGUAUUGAUUUAGCAGAGUAUAGAGAAAAGGAGAUGCCUACAGAUGUCUGGAACAUAUUUUCAUUUGGGGUCUUGUGUUUUAAUUUGUAAAGAAUGCAAGUCAUAUUUUAAUGUUAAAAUUGGUCAGUCUAACAAAAGGAAUAAAAUAUUUGGUUAUAAAAAAAGGCUUUCUGUUCCUGAAUUCCUAAGUAGUAGUUCCUUAAGAAUUCAGGGAAUGGGAACUGUAACAUUUUCCAUGUGCCAGUAACUGAGCUGAGUAUUUUGCCUGCUUACCAUUUGGUAAACUGCCUUUACUAUGUUCGCCUUUUUUUCAUCAUUUUAAAGUAAAAACUAUCAUGAAUAUUUUCUUUACUCUGUAGAUCAAAAAUAUGAAAGUACUGCAUAAUUUGGGUGCCUCUGAUCAUCUAUUAGAACACAUCAUGUGAGUUAUUAGAGAUGUGACCUGUGGGGAAAAGUGGCUUCUCAUUCCUGGGAACUGGCCUGGCACUUCCCACUAGGUUUUGGUGUUCUCAUAUUGAGCAUGUUUCACAGAGCACCAUCAGACAAAGCAACUGUGACCAUGAUAAUAGGUUUCUGUUACGAAUUUAUUGUAUCCGUCAAGAUUGCAAGGUCUCUCGGGUCAGUUAAGAUCUUUUAGAAGGCCUUUUAUUUGAAGAAGCCUUUCCUGAGCACUCUUCUCUGAAGUGGUUAGACUCUUUCUCUGUGCCCCUGGUAGCCUAGUGCCAUACUGCUCUCAUGGCACAUACCACAUUCUAGUUUAUCAGG